CUUUCAACAACGGAUCUCUUGGUUCUGGCAUCGAUGAAGAACGCAGCAAAAUGCGAUAAGUAAUGUGAAUUGCAGAAUUCAGCGAAUCAUCGAAUCUUUGAACGCACAUUGCGCCCCCUGGCAUUCCGGGGGGCAUGUCUGUCCGAGCGCCG
rnacentral:rRNA from 1 species